UAGUUACUCCCUCUGUUCGGAAUUACUUGCCACAGAAAUGGAUGUAUCUAGACGUAUUUUAGUUUUAGAUACAUCCAUUUCCGAGACAAGUAAUUCCGAACGGAGGGAGUAGUAU
rfam:Triticum aestivum genome assembly, contig: Triticum_aestivum_CS42_TGACv1_scaffold_578286_7BL